rnacentral:tRNA from 1 species
GCUCGAUAGCUCAGUCGGUAGAGCAGAGGACUGAAAAUCCUCGUGUCGGCGGUUCGAUCCCGUCAUCCUCCACCA